ensembl:lncRNA
GGGGGGGGGGGGGGCUUGGGGGAGGAGGGAGGGAAAGUGGAUCAACAUCACCGAAGGAGGACAGCGAGCAAGAUUAGGGCUGGCUAAUGAUAAAUGAGAAGGCGCCGCUGACAGCUCCUCUCUCCGCGGCUCCCGCCCGGCAGCUCCGCGCUGCGCGCUCCGUGCGCACCUCCGCCCGCACCCGCGGCCGCCGCUUCGCUCCCCUCCGCCCAUCUCUUCUCAGUUUUAAUCUCUUUUUAUUAUUAUUAUUAUCGUUAUCAUCGUUAUUAUUGUUAUUAUCAUAUAUUUUUUUCAUUAUUAUUAUUUUUUCUUAAUUUUUCACCUCCGCGUAGCGCGCAGAGCGCUUGGGGGGGGGGGCUCCAUUUUAACCCCCCCCACCUUCGCCCCAAAACCGCUUUCCUCGGGAUUACGCCGCAUCGAGGGACCGGAGCAGGGGGUAUUUUCCUUCUUUUUACCGAGAUUUGGGCUGGGGGGCUUGGGGGCUCAAUGCGGGGUCGGGAUGCGCUGCGGGCACAGCCUCCCCUCACCCCCACCACCCCCCCCCCCGAGGGAUGGGGAUGGCGAUGGGGGGGGAUGCGGGGCUGUUCGCCGCCCCCCCGCACCCCACCCGGGUGACCUUUCCCAUCAAAGCCCGCUCGUCCCCAGCAAGGUGCAUUGGGGCAGCGGGCGGUGGGGGGGGGAGGGGGGGGCGGAGGGGAGAGGGCGCCGCAGCCGGGCUCUCCCCCUCCCUCUGCUUUCCCCCUCCCUCCUCCCCUCCCUCGCUGCUCCCUCCUCUCUCUGCUGCAUUUUGCAUGAGCUAUCUAGGUCAUUAGCAUUUUAGCGUAUGCAAGACUUGACAAAGCUGAUGAGAAGCCAGAUGGGCCCCUCUCCUCUCUUUUUUUUUUUUUCCUGCCUUUUUUUUUCUUUUUCCUCUCUUUUUUUUUCCCUUUUUCUUCUUUUUUUCCCCCCUUUUUUUUUCCUUUUUUUUUUUUUUUUUUUUUUUUUGCACCACUUGGGAUCCGAGCGAAAAGGAUUUGACUGCAGCAGCAGCGCAGCAGCACAGCAGCACAGGCGGACGGGGGAAGGCUCCUCGCGCUCCUCCAGACCCCUUUUAGAGCAGCAGCAGCAGCAGCAGCGCAGCGCAGCGCAGCGGGGCUCGGGCUGCAGGGCAGCUCCUGGGGUCAGCGCUCCCCCUCCAGAUGGAAGGAGGUUGGGCAAAGCAAAGCCACUUUUUUAUUACCAUUUCCCCACUUUAACCCUUCCUUCUGAUUACCGCUAUUUUUCCGGUGGCUGUUUAUGCGCCUCUCCCCCGCCUCCCCCCCUACCCCCCCCUUCCUUUAAUCCUUAUAAUUUAAAUCAAAAGUGUCGGGGAUGCAGAUGGGGGGAGCGCUGUGUCUGCAGGGCGAGGCCGGGCGUAAAUCUCUUGGAGGGAUAAACAUGUCAUUUGUUCCCUUUGUAUGGUAAUGCGUCCCCCCCCACUCCCGCAGAUGCCCCCCCCCCCCUUCACCCCCCAGCAGCUGCCCCGGCCAUACAUCCUCCCUACAAAAGAUCCCAAUUACCCAUCGGCUGCCUCAUUAUACCCCUAACACAGAGGCGUGUGCGAGCGGCGGCGGAGGGGAGGGCUGGGGGAGAGGAGGGGGUGGCAGCACCUGAAUUAUUCAGAAAAUGCAAUAAAAUAAAAUGAAAGAAAAGAAAAUUCAAGAAACUGCAGAGGGGAGGGAGGUGGAGGGGGCCACGACCCCGCGGCCUAACGCCGAGCGGUGCCCCCGCAGAGCCCCUGCAGCCCCGCGCUGCUCCACCACCACCCCACCUUCUUAUAUUCUUCCUCCUUUUUUAUCCCUUUUUUUCCCCCCUCCACCCUUUUUUUUCCUCCUCUUAUAGGCAGACAGGUGCCUGAUAGCCCAUCGCCUACCCUGCAUCCCGCUGGGGCCCUUCUCUCAUCCCUUCUCCUAUCCCCUUUCCCGUCCUUUUCUCCCAAGCUGUUUCUCCUACCCAUUUUCCCAUCCCCUUUCCCAUCUCUUCUCCAUUCCCUUUUCCUAUCCCUUCUCCUGAACCUUUCCCCCAUCUCUUCCUCCUAUCUUUUUCUCCAUCCUCUUUUCCCAUCCUUUUCCCUUCCUUUUCCCCAUCCCUUUUCUCAUCAUUCUCCCAUUCCUUCUCCCAUCCCUUCUCAUCUCUUUCCCCCAUUCCUUUAACCCAUUCCUUUUCCCAUCCUUCUCCCAUCCCUUUCCCAUCCCCUGUCCAAUUCCAUUUCCCGUCUCUUCUCCCCAUUCCUUUUUCCCAUCCCUUUUCCAUUCUCCUUCCAUUCCCUUCUUCCAUUUCCUCUCCCGCCCUUCUUCUUCCCAUCCUCUUUCCCAUCCCCUCUCUUUGCAGCUGGAGCCCAUCCACUGCCCUCGCCCACAGCUGGCCCAGUGUUCCCAGCAGGAGCCCAGCACUGGCCAAAGCCAACCCUUACUGGAGGUUCCUCUUUCUCACCCCAUGGCCUGGGGCCCCCAGAUCUCUUUGCAGCUCCGUGAGCAGACUCUUGCCUCUGGGAUGGGAGCAGAGAUGAUGGCUCGGGGUCCCUGGGACAGCUCCUUGCACCCCCCCAGGGGUGCUGCAGGUAUUUGGGGACAGACCUACCGGGUGCGCUGUGGAUGCCGCAAGGAUCCCAUCGGGUUGCGCCGUGCCAAUAAAGCUCUUCUUGCUGCGGGUUCCCGCAUCCUCUCCUUUGUUCACGGAGGUUUCUCGCUCUUCUCUUUCCAGCCUUGGUUUCCCCACCAAGGUCCAGAUGGGGGGCAAAUAAAUACCAAAAGCCACCCCAAAAUAAAAACCCUAAUAAAAAUUAGGCAGCCCACAGCCGCCUGCUUGGUAAUGCUACGAGAGCUCACCCUCGACCUCCAAGAGAACCCAAGCUCCUGUUUAAGGAAUAACAGGGAGAAUAGAAGAGAUUUGGGGUCUCUUCCAUUUGGGGUCCCUUCCACUUGGAGCCUCUUCUAUUUGGAGGCCCUCACAUUUGGGGUCCCUUCAUUUGCGAUCCCUUCCAUUUGGGGUCCCUUCUAUUCGGGAUCCCUCCCGUUUGGGGUCCCUUCCAUUUGGAGUCUCUUCUAUCUGGAGACCUUUCCAUUUGGGAUCCCUUCUAUGUGGAAUCCCUUCCAUUUGGGGUCCUUUCCCUUCAUUCUCUGCACACUGAGCAUCUCUGCAGACGGCCUCACCCCUCUGCUGCCAGUGAGCCAGCCGAGCCGCAUUUCCAUUACUGAGUAUGGGAGAGGGAAAUGCUAUCAAAAUAACCUCCCAUCCCUGCAGAAAAUAAUCCAUUUAUCCCUUGCAAAAGGGCUAGGAUAAAGAGACACCGUGAGCUCCAACCCAAAGGCCUGGGACCACGCUGGGGUCGCACCAGGAGCUGCCAAAGAAGGGGAGCUCUUACUAAUAUUAAUUCCCAUAAUUAUUACGGUGCCCAGAAUAAAUCAGGCCGGGGUUUCUCUGAGGCCUUUGCCCCUGGGAUGAGCUGCGAGGUGGCCCCUCCUCCCCGGGGUGGACACUUUGGGUAUGGGAAUGGCGUGGGGUGGGGGAGGCAGAUGCGUUCAGGUUUUUUUUUUUUUGCUGCGAGGCGGAGGAGGAGGUGGCAUGGGUUUAUUCUGAGCACGUCAGCUCCCUGUGUCCCCUCCUUCCUCCCUCUGCCUGCAGUCCGAUGUAAACACAGCAACUCAAACCUGCAGCCCUGAACCCUCCUGGAAUACUGGGGGAGUGAAGCAGCGCCAUCGCUGCAGCGAUGCCCCCGGAUAACCCAUGCGCAUCCAUCCCCAAGGUCAGGCACCAGAAAGGGACAGGGAUGGGACAGUGGUGGAGCAGGGAUCCAAGGUGCCAGCCACAUCCACCUGCAGUGCUGUGCCAUUUUUAGCCCCCCCCCUGCCCAUGGCCAACCCCUUCCCAAUCUGCUUGCGUUGGUUCAACGUGAUGUUGGAAAUUCCUCUCUUUCCUUCAUUUCCCUGCUCUCCGUCAAGUCCCAGCUUGGCUAAUGGCCCCAGGCAGCACAGCCAUCCACCCAUGCCCAUGCAAGACGGUGGGUUUCACACAGCAAAAAGUCUUCUCCACGUCCCUGUAGCAUUCAGCUUCUUUCCUGGGUUUAUUUUUAUGCCGGAUGCCUCCUUGAGCAGCAACCCAACGCAUCUCCUAGCAGCAGCAGUCCAAGUGGGCGUUUCACUGGGAAAUCUAAUCAGGAUUCGAGGGGAAAAUCCUUUCUAAACGUCUCGGCUAAGCGAUGAGCUCGAUUCAAUUGCCUAGGCUAUAAAAAGGACCAGCAGACCUGUAUUUUUUCCAGGACCAUUUUUCUGGGAUCUGCAGCUCAUUCCCAGCCACACACCUCCCAGGAGCAGGGCUACAAAUCACCUCCAUCGCCCUAAAUGUAGCCUGAUGAUGAGAUCAUAAGCAUGGAUCUUGGUGGCAUCGUCACAUUAUGGGGUCGGGCAGCGAAACCGCGUGCGGUACCCCGAGGAGGAGGGAUGGCCGAGCAUGGCACAGUGGUGAUGCUCCCACAUACCACCCUAUCCCUGUUAUUAAAACAUCUCCAAACAAAGCAUCCCCUAUAAAUAUAUGUUUCCCUCCAUCCAAGAUGCCCUGAAUCAGGCCAAUAGUGAGAUUAAUUCCAAUCAGGACCAUGGGGACCCAAGAGACUAGGUUUGCUCCAAGCUCACAUGGGUGAUGAGCGACCAAAGGAGGAAAACCUACAGGCUUUGCCCAUUGUGGGUCUGGGAGGAGAGGAGCUGGAAGGCGGUCCUCUGCUGAGGAUGCAGGAUGCUCUGUUUCCAUGGCACUUGCAGAGUUGUGUGUGCGUGUGCACAGUCCCAAGCCAUGCAGCGAUGAUGGGGUGGUGAUGCUGCUAUGGCAUCCCAGUGUCUAUAGUCCUUUUCACAUGCUUUGCUCCACAGCCAGGGAACAGGGCUGAAAAUCAACGCUCAGAGGGGGAAGGGAACCAGGAGUCAGCACUGCUGUGCUCCCAGGUUUGGAAUGAGGCUGCUCUCCAAGAGGGGAAUGAGUCUGCUGGGGGAUGAGUAAGGAAGAGGGAUCCCCAUGGCUCCCUGAUACAGUCAGACACAUCCUGACCUCCUCAAUGGGAUCACAUGGGUUAGAGGGCAAGAGCUGCAUAAGAAGAGUUCAAGAGAUUUCUGCCCUCAUCCAGAGUUUUAAUGGGGACACGAUGCAAGAUGUACAAAUCUUUAAUUGCUAUCAGUACUUGGAAGGAUAUGAAUGGAAUCAGCACUCCUCACGUGAACCUGUACAUCGUGGCACAUAAAUACAUUUAUACCUGUCCCAGAAACCCCAAUCCCUAAAAUAUCCAUCCUCUCAUUCCAUGUAAACGUCAUGAUUUUAGGGCACGACACCGUCCCAGCCCUAAAGGUCACAUUAGGAGGAUCCUGAGCCCUUCUCGACCCACGGCAAGAAAGCAGCAUUUCCAAGUCAGUCUGGGUCGCUCCCAUGGUCUUUUGGGAUCAUUUCAUCCAAAGUGUGGGAUUUAGGUUAGAUAUUAGGAAGAAGUGCUUCACAGUGAGAGUGGUGAAGAGGUGGCACAGGCUGCCCAGAGAGCUGUGGGUGCCCCAUUCCUGGCAGUGCCCAAGGCUAUGGAUGGGGCUGUGGGCAGCCUGGGCUGUGGGAUGUGCCCCUGCCCACAGCAGGGAUUGCACUGAGGGGUCUUUAUGGGCCCUUCCAACCCAACCCAUAUUGAUGCACCCACAUCUUUCGGUGACCCAUAGCUGCCUUCCCAAAUGUGUUGAGGUUUUCAGCAGCACACAAAGGCUGGCAAAUGCUUUUGCCCUGCCAUUGCUUCGUGCUCACUUUGCCCCACUGAUGACAGACCAAAAAUAAACCAAGAGCCCAUCUCCCCUUCAGCAUCCCCUCCUCCCCCAGACACAAAGCACGGCGCGGAGCGUAUCCAGAUGGGGAAAGGCAAAUGGCUGGGGAGGGAGGAGGCUGGGGAUGGAGAGACAGCAGCCAUCAGUGCACAAACCUGACACAAAUCCCUUGGCCACGGCGACAUGUGAGGAUUUCUCCUUUUUUAUUUCAUUCCUUUUUAUGAACGUUUCGUUAUUUGUACGGAGACGUUUUUAUUUUAAACCAAGAUGUGCUGAAGUGCUUCCAUGUGGCAACAGCUGUAGAGAUGAGCUAAUACAAAGCUCAGCAAUUUCCCCGUGAGCACGGGUCUUCCUCUGCAGUCAUCAAACUGAUAACAUCUUAUACAGAGAAGACAAAAGUAAUGCGUACGCGUGUGUAAUUUGCAAUGUCAAUGUGUUCGACUGUGUGUUGGAAUCAUAAAAGUUAUUUCAUUUAUUACAGUCGUGCAUAAGGCUUCUUAGAGCUGCAGACUUGGAAUAGGCAAUUAUGCCCAUAGGUUAAUAACAUACAGCCAUUUGACUGACAACUGGAAUUAGAUUUAAACACGGCAGAGUGGUAUACUAAAGGCACUUUAUUAAAACAGUGGCUGGGGAUUUGUUCAAAAUACCAGUCUCAUACCUUUCCUGGUAAACUACUUAUAAGCAGCACUAUAUCGUGGCCUGUUAUAUUGCAUUUGUUCUCCUUUCCCCUUCUACUUCGUGUUGAGCCAUAUAGCGAGGGAUUUGGCUGGUCAGGUUUUGCUGGAGAGAAGGCAGCCUCUCCGGUCAAUAAAUUCAGCUAAUAUUGUGUUUUUCUUAUCCUGUUAUCAGGAAAGUUUGCUCUCCUGAGUUAGUGCAGCAUGGGGACGCAUUGCCUGCAGCAGGGUUGGGAUCUCUGCUCAUGGAGGGUUUUAUACCAGCUUAGGAAGACUGGAGAGCAAAUUUCAUCCUGCCUUGGGACCAGGGUUAGAUCCACUAUUUCCCAACAUUCUUUGGAAAAAAAAAACCAAAAACGUUAUGUGGUUUCAGAGAUGAUCAAAGUUUAAGGGUCACCAAAAUUUCUAGGGUUGGACCAAGUGGCAUCUAAAGGUCCCACUCCAACCUGUGUUGUUCCACAAGUCUAUCUAAAGUUGGAACUAGCAUUAAAAACCCAAAGGCACUUUUUGCUCAA